rnacentral:rRNA from 1 species
UGCAAGUCGAACGAUGAAACCGCUUCGGUGGUGGAUUAGUGGCGAACGGGUGAGUAACACGUGGGCAAUCUGCCCUUCACUCUGGGACAAGCCCUGGAAACGGGGUCUAAUACCGGAUAACACUCUGUCCCGCAUGGGACGGGGUUGAAAGCUCCGGCGGUGAAGGAUGAGCCCGCGGCCUAUCAGCUUGUUGGUGGGGUAAUGGCCUACCAAGGCGACGACGGGUAGCCGGCCUGAGAGGGCGACCGGCCACACUGGGACUGAGACACGGCCCAGACUCCUACGGGAGGCAGCAGUGGGGAAUAUUGCACAAUGGGCGAAAGCCUGAUGCAGCGACGCCGCGUGAGGGAUGACGGCCUUCGGGUUGUAAACCUCUUUCAGCAGGGAAGAAGCGAAAGUGACGGUACCUGCAGAAGAAGCGCCGGCUAACUACGUGCCAGCAGCC